GGGGAUAUAGCGCAGUUGGUACAAUGCUUGCCUUGCAAGCACAAGGACCUGGGUUCAAGUCCCAGCACCACCA
rfam:Ictidomys tridecemlineatus contig101416, whole genome shotgun sequence.